UCAAGUUCUUCUUCAGUAGUGGCUGUACUUAUGCAAAGCAUUUGAUGAACCGGAAAGUGAGGAAGUGUGCAGACAACUGCACCAAGAUGUUUUCUCCUUGGUGUUGUGUACACAGGGUGCAAGCAUCGGUCAGGCGAGACCAAGACGCGUACAAGCCGUCAAAAAUAUCUACAGAGUGGAGAAGUGAGAAUCACACCUCGUCGUUGUGGUCAGGCGUGCUAGACAAACCCCACCACCAGAACAUCUGCACUCGCCGAUAAGCACCCAGUGGGGAGGAGACGGCCAUCGACCAAUCAUCUCACGAUGUUUUGCAUGUUUGAAUAUUCAUAGUGUGUUUCUUUAUAACUGGGCAAUC